AUGAAAAAAAUUAAACUCGUUUUCUUACCAGCACGUUGCAGCACCAACUCGCUCACAGGAAUGUUGCCUUUUACAGGUUUCUCUUUUAAUUAUCCUAGAAGCAGGGAGAAAAAAAAAAAAAAAAAAAAAAAAAAAAAAAAAAGGCAAAGAAGAAGCAGGGUGGUUAAAUUAGCGUGCUGGAAUCUUUUCAGUUUGUCGCAGAGUAGAAAAAUAAAAAAAGGAAAAAAAAGGCUCAGUAAUUUAAAUUUGCUCUCAGUUCAGGCUGCAAUGCUGGGUCCCGCCCCUUCUUCCGGCUGGGUUCCACUACCUGUAAGGCUGGAACUGACAGCCACUGUGCAAACAAAAAAAGGCAACAAGCAUGCUGGGACCAUUCUGUCUGCUGUUUGGGUCUCACUUGCCCUGACAACUAAAAAUCAUCAGUGGAAAGAGGUUGGAACAUUUGAAAAAUAUCAAAAACACAGCAGAGACAAGUUUAGGUGGUUUCCAGGGGAGAGGCACUGAAAGUGAUUGAUUCCUAUCAAAAGCACAAGGACAGAGUAAGUGAUUCUUUCUAGUAAAUGACAGUAGAGAUACAGCUGAACUCUGAGAAUGUAAUAAUGGUUAUGGCAAGGAAGGCUGAUGAGUUCUAGGAAAAGCACAUUGCUCGUGACCGGAGCAGUGGUUCUUGACUUUUACAGGUCUGAUAUCAGGCCAUCACCAUAUCAAAGAAUCUAGAUACCACCACAGUAGAAGCCAAAUUUUUACUUUUUGUCUUUAUGAUUAGCCACAA
rnacentral:lncRNA from 1 species